rnacentral:rRNA from 1 species
GAUGAACGCUGGCGGCGUGCUUAACACAUGCAAGUCGAGCGAGAAGUUUUGAAAAGAUUCUUCGGAUGAAAUUUAAAAUGGAAAGCGGCGGACGGGUGAGUAACGCGUAGGCAACCUGCCCCAUACAAAGGGAUAGCAUUUGGAAACGAAUAUUAAUACCUUAUGAAACUUAACUAGUGCAUGCUAGGUAGGUCAAAGAUUUAUCGGUAUGGGCUGGGCCUGCGUCUGAUUAGCUAGUUGGUGAGGUAACGGCUCACCAAGGCGACGAUCAGUAGCCGACCUGAGAGGGUGAACGGCCGCAUUGGAACUGAGACACGGGCCAAACACCUACGGGAGGGAGCAGUGGGGAAUAUUGCACAAUGGGGGAAAGCCUGAUGCAGCAACGCCGCGUGAACGAUGAAGGCCUGUGGGUCGUAAAGUUCUGUUCUAGGUGAUGAAAACUGACAGUAACCUAGGAGAAAGCCCCGGCUAACUCCGUG